AGACCUAAGAUGGCGGCGUUUGUACGGGGUGCAACCGCUGCGGUUGCAAGGCGUCCGAAGUAUGUGAGUCCACUAACAAAAGUCCAGAAACUCGCCAGUUAAUAGUAUUGUGGUGAGUGAUGAGCCUCACAUUGGCUAGAGAAGUGGCCGUAAGCGAGGCUAGACACUUUGGGAUCGCGUGGCCUGAGUGGGGGUAGUAACCGGCCUGUAUUCCAUUUUUCUCUCUCGCGUCUCUUCAAAAUAUCGGAGAAUAAUUUCUCUCCCUGAUCACCUAACUUCUACUGACGAGGCUAGGAAGUUGCAGAAGCUAGCUCCUAGGAGGGAUAUAUGGGUCGUUCUUUCCUUUUUCCUUGUUUAAACGGGUUUUUAUUGACACCAUGUCUCGCCAAAAUGGAUUCCAUCUCCUCAGAGCUCUCUUAGGAACACCCUAACCUCUUGGGCCUAACUUUAUUUUUUUUUGUUCUGCCUUUAAUGUCCAAACUUAUUAGUUUUGAUUAAUUUGUUUGUAACGUAUUCAUUAUGCACUAGAUUAAACAUUUUUUUUCUGUGCCCAUUAUACCCCAAAUGUGGAGUUUUGGACAAAAACUUAACAUUUGUUCUUGAAGCAUCUCAGAGUUGUGUGUGUGUGUGUACAGGUAAUCUUUGGGGGACUUGCCACAUUUUGUAUAUUUCUAGGCUGAUAACUCACUAAGAAAAGAGCUAGAUUUCCUGUCUUCAAAUCUGUUGGCGAAAUUAAAUUUAUGUUAAGCAUAACAUGUUUACUGUAUAUAUGGGGAAGACAGUAAAGAGUGACAUCUAAUAUGUUGUUAAAUGCUUAUGUGGUUAAAGUAAAUUUCAUGCAUUGCCGCGGAGUAUGAAUUGCUGCAACCUUUUAGAAAAUAAUCUGGCAAUAUUUAGGGAAAUAAAAAAUGCAGAUAUCACUUGAACAAAAACUGGAAUGCAAAAGUCUGACUUUUAAGAAUCUGUCCUGCAGAAAUAAAAGUACCAGUAUAUAAUAACGCAUGAACAAGGAUACUUUUGUACAACUUUGUUCUUGUGACAACUGGAAACAACCUGUGUAUCCAUCAAUGGGAGAAUGUUUGAGUAAAUUUUGGUACAUAAAUAUUAUGGAAUAUUUUGACUUUUGACCUAGAGGAUGUCAUGAUGGAUGGUUAUGUGAGAAAAGUAAGUUGCAGAAUAGUAUGAUUCCUUUUUUUUUUUUUUUUUUUUUUUUGAUGGAGGGGGUGAUGAAGGAAUGCAAGAUUAACUUCUUUAUAUUUUGAGGGGGGCUUUCAAUAUAUUAUGAAAUACUUAAGACAUAUACAUAUAUAUAAGGAAUAAUACAAUGAACCUCUCUUCUCACCACCCAACAUAAAAAAAAAAAUCAAACAUUAACAUGACAGUUGAAGUUCUCUGUGUACCCAUCCCCGAUUGCAUCUCUCUCUUCUCUUAUCCCCAGAGGUAACCAUUAUUUUAAAGUUAGUGAUUUUUACCAUGCACUUCUUAAACUUCUGUGACAUAGCAACUUAUAGCAUGGAUUAUUUUUUGUGAAUAUUGAAGAUGAAUUUUUUUAAAAAGUAAAUGAAAGAAGAAAGCAAGUGUCUGACUUUUUUUUUUUUUUUAAAAGAUGAAGUCUUGCUCUGUCACCCAGGCUAGAGUGUAGUGGCGCAAUCUCAGCUCACUGCAACCUCCGCCACCCGAGUUCAAGCGAUUCUCCUGCCUCAGCCUCCUGAGUAUCUGGGAUUGCAGGCACCUGCCACCGUGCCCAGCUAAUUUUAAUUUAAUUUUUAUUUAUUUUAUAUAUAGAGAGAGAGAGGGAGAGAGACAGACAGACAGACAUGGAGUCUCGCUCUGUCACCCAGCUAGAUCUCGGCUCACUGUAACUUCCCCCUCCUGGGUUCAAGCGAUUUUCAUGCCUCAGCUUCCAGAGUAGCCGAGAUUACAGGCACACCUUUCCACGCCUGGCUAAUUUUUGUAUUUUUAUAUAGAUGGGGUUUCACCGUGUUGGCCAGGCUGGUCUCGAACUCCUAAUCUCAGGUGAUCCGUCCGCCUCGGCCUCCCAAAGUGCCGGGAUUACAGGCGUGAGCCAUCGUGCCCGGCCAC
ensembl:lncRNA